CUAAGCAUUUAUUUGUAACUGUUUGUAAUCGUCUCCGAUUAAUUAUUUUAUGGUUGUUGUAAAACCAAACGAACUACCAGCUUGAAAGGUUCUACUUCUUAAAAAGAUUGGGUCGUUGCUUAAAAAUACUACUACUGUGGUGUAAAUGAAAUUUGUAUAAAAACUCAAACUUUAAUUUUACUCACAUCGAGCAAUAACAAAUCAAUUUAUUUAAUUAUUUCAAUUUAAUUAAAUACUAGACAAAACCUUUACUCUUUCUUGAUGCUCUCUCGCAUACAUACAUUUACCUACUCACUGACAAAAGAAAGAUCUGGAAAAAAUGCUGAUACCACCAGCGCUCAAUUUAAAUUCUUGGGGAAAAAUAAGACUAUGAAUUCAAACAUCCUCCCACUUCUUUUGGGAGAGAAUGCGGACAAAAGAACAAUACUACAUUCAUAAAAAUUUCACAUAUUCACAUAAAAAUUACACUCCAAAUCUCUCAGGGUUCCUAAUCUGUCUUCCAAAUCUUGUACGCACAUUUUCUUCUUUCUUGGCGUCGACUGACUCCCACACUUGCGCUGAUAUCUUCACUCUAUUUUGAAUUUGGGGAAUCUCUUCAGUUGACACCUCCAGGGGGAACAGUCUCUGCAAAGGUCGAGUCAGCAGUCCAUUCGCCGUCUUGAGUUUGGCUACUCUCACAUGACCGUCCCUUCCAACAAUCAGUUCCAGAAUUCUUGCCAUCGGCCAAAUGAUCCUUCUCUUGUCAUCUGAACCGAUGAGCACAACAUCGCCGACUCGAAACUCUGGCGAUUUCUUCUCUUUUCCUCGUUGAACCAGUUGAGACAGGUACUCUUUAACAAAUCUUGACUUCAAUUCUUGUCUCAAUUGGCGUAGAUCUCGAUAUUUGCUCCUCAGUGCUUGACCAUCCAAUAAUUCCUCUUCAGGGAAAUCCGCUUCGGUGAUGUCGUGAAGAAACAUCGCAGGCGUCAGGGGCACUAAGUCAUCUUGUUCUUCUGACAUAUAGGUCAGAGGACGGCUAUUGACUACCGCCUCCACCUCAAACAUACACGUCUCCAACUCAGCAAGGUUUAGCUUCUUGCGUCCCAGCAUUCGCUUCAUAAUAUCUUUGCAACUUCUUAUUAACCGCUCCCACCAUCCGCCCCACCACGGCGCUGCGGGUGCGCUGAAUUUCCACUUAAUUCGACUCACUCUGGACUCCUGUUCAAUUCUCUUCCAGUCCAUCAGCUUAAUUGCAUUAUUCGCACCUUCAAAAUUGGUGCCAUUGUCCGAAUAGAUGAUGGCUGGUCUUCCUCUUCGACUGAUGAAUCGGUGUAAACUUAACAAAAAAUCCUCCGUUGAUAAUGAUGACACUAAUUCCAAAUGAAUAGCUCUGUAAACUGCACAGGUAUACAGCACCAUCCAGGCUUUUGACCCAUUUUUCAGGAAGAACGGUCCUGCUAGGUCAAUCCCCACCACUUGAAACACCUUCGCGGUCGUCGUCACUCUGUCCUCGGGAAGUGGGGGGCACGGAACUUCUGAUUUCUUAGUGGUAAAACGGCGACAGAUCACACAUUGCCGGAUCACCUUCUUAACUUGUUGUCGUAAAUGGAUUAUCCAAAAACGCUCCCUUAACUUGCUCAUUGUAAUGCUUAAUCCUGCAUGCAUAUUUAGAAUAUGCUCCGAUCUAAUUAAAUGCCAAACAACAGGAUGAUUUGAUGGCAGCAAAACUGGCUUUCUAAAUGAUUCACUCUCUGGCAUGUUCGUAAUCUUGGUCUUAAUUCUGAGCAAGUCGUCUUCUCCUCGAACAACUUGUAAAUUUUCCACCACAUUUUGAUUAAGGGGAAAAGAUUCUUCUUGUAUCUUGUGGAACAUAAAAGUUUCAGCUUCUUCAAUUUCUCGCUGUUCUAAUUCGCCAACUAUCUUCUCUCCUUUAAAUCGACGGAUGCUGCGCUUCAACAUCGCAACAACACGAACAUUCUUCACAAAAGAACAUGACAUCUCUCCAUACCAGGGCGUAGAUGGCAACGUCGCAAUAAGUGACACUUUUGCCACUUUCUUCAUUUCGGCACGAACUUGAUCAUCAUCCGCUUCUUCUUUACUUGAUGGCCAUUCCGAUUUUGGUUUCUUUAGCCAAUCCGGGCCCGCCCACCAUUUAGAAUUGAUAAGAUGAGAAGGACUGCAUCCUCUUGAAGGUAAAUCGGCUGGGUUGAGGACGCCCGGCACAUGGUUCCAUUCCAUGGAAUUACUGAGGGAACAUAUUUCCUUAACUCGGUUUCCCACAAAUGUUCCCCAUUUAUCAUUGCGCUUUAUCCAAGCCAGCGCUGUCGUCGAAUCGCUCCAGUAAAAAGUUGGGGUCUCCUCCGCGGACAAGGCCUCCUUCACUGAUUUCGAAAGUCUGGCAGCGAUGGUACAUCCUAAUAGUUCCAGUCUCGGAAUUGUUACCUUCUUCAUGGGGGCAACUCUCGCCUUAGCUUGUAACAAUUGGACUGAAACUUGUUCAUUAUCUUCAACUCGUACAAAAACGGCGGCGGCAUACGCAUGUUGACUUGCGUCACAAAGUACAUGAAACUGGCGAUUGCUUUCAUAACUUGAGCAAAAUGCCCACCUCGGAAUUUUCAUUUCUUUUAAUAGCUGAGCCUGAGUCCACCAAUCUUCAAAUUCUUUCUUAAUUGUUGAAUCCAACUCUUCAUCCCAUGAAUUCUUCUCCGUCCAGGUCUUUUGCAAUAACAGCUUUGGGAUGAUGGUGGUUGGACUUAAAUACCCCAUCGGGUCAAAAAAUUGUUUCACUUUUGACAACAUCACUCUCUUGCUAAUAUUCUCAAUCUUUUCUUCUUUCGGGACGGAGACUGAUAACUCAUCCUUCUUCUUGUCCCAGUUCAGUCCGAGCACUACAGUUGUCUCUUGACCAUUUUCAUCCUUAUCAAACUGCUCGAAACUGAUCCCAGCGGCCCCAGAGGAAGAACGUUCCCAUUGACGAAGCUCCAUCCUGGCGUCGCACAUCAUCUUAAACUCUUGAACUUUUCAUAUUCUUCUUCCGUGUCAACUGACGUGACACAAUUGUCCACAUAAAGAGAACGCAGGAGCUUAUUUGCAUACUCCUUUUCUUCUCCAGUAACCUGGCUCAAAUGGUACUCGAUAACAGCUCCGAGUAAGAAUGGGCUGCACUUGACCCCAAAAACGACUCGCUUAUGUCGAUAAAUCUUCAUUCUUGGAUUUUCUUUAUUAUUCCACCACAGGAAACGCUGGAAAUCUUGAUCCGGCUUCGCAACUUCGAUCAUUUGAAAUGCUUUUCUAAUGUCAGAAAUGACACCAAUUUUCUUUUCGCGAAAUCUCAACAGAAUUGCAGGAAGCGUCAUAAACGGGACGAACUGGAGUUGUCUUGCUCUCUAAUUUGUAAACUGGACGGUGGGGCAGGUAAUGACAAGGCCUGUCCACGCCUCCAACUACUUCUUCAAUUAAUCCUUCCUUCUCCCAAUCUUGAAAUACUUUAUCAUAAAGUUCAUAAUUUCCUCUCGUAAUUUUGUAGUAGUGGAAAUUAACCUCUUCUCCGCGACGACCUUGUUGUCGGGAAUGGUCCUUUCUUCAUCAACCCAGGGAAGCGCCACGGCGUAUCUUCCUUCUUGAGUUCUUGAAACUGUUCUCAAAAAAUGCUGUCUUGCUUCUUCUUCCUUUUCAUUCUUGGUUUUAUGCUCGGUUGGAUCAUUGAUUCCAAGAGUCUCGAGCUUCCAUAAAUCCUGGACACAUGCUUCUGCAUUGAAUAAUGAGUGAUGAAUCGUCAUCACUCCCAUGCUGACUUCUUUUCCUGGGACAGGUCCACUCAGGGUCCAUCCAAACACUGUCUCCACUGCGACAAGACCACACGAUAACAUUAACGGUCUGCCACACACAAAUUGUCCCCAAUAAUCACUUCCGAUUAAUAACUCGAUAUCCGGGUGGUCCACAUGGCUCAUCUCAAAAUCUGACAGAAAAAUCUUCCUCUUCUUCAACUCAUUCAUCCACGGACCGGCGGGAAUUCUUGGAAUGUCUCCACAAAUAGUUGCGGACUCCCUCAAAAUUACGUCUCUCUUGAAUCGCCCAUCGAGGCUUUGAACUUGCACUUUAAAUUUCUUGAUUUUCCUCGGCUCCGUCAAAAUUCCACCAAACAGAACGUUACGAGUCCAUUCUUCUCCCACGAGUGGACUUCCGAUUGCAGAGAUCGUCCUCUGACCACCGCUGCUCUGCUGGUUUCCCUCGUCGAACAGCAACCUCACUAUUCUUGUUCCUUUAGGACCAGCCAUCUUCACCAACAACGUCUUCAUUAAUACAUCUUUGCUGCAAGAAUGGUUGGCAUUUGCUGCUGUCGCUGGGACAUCACUGUGUACCUCUUCUCUUCCGGUAUUGUUCCUUUGAUUUGACGGAAGUCUUGCACACAUUGACCUUGCAUGGGGCUCGCCACAUGAUGAACAUUUCAACUUAACUUUACAGUCUGAUUUACGAUGUCCAAAUUUCAAACACCGAUAACACAAAUUCUGGCUUCUUAUCAGGUCACUCUUCUCUGACCAACUCAUCCUAUCCGCUCGAUAACACUCGGUACUUGGAUGGUUGGAUUUGGAGCAAAACACGCAAUUGCUGAUCUGCGCCACUAACAAUCCUGCUGCGGUUGGGAUUGAAUCUUUCUUCUUCCAUGAUUUUCAUAUUUUUCUUUCUUGGACUUGCCAGAAGAAUCACCUCCAAUAAACAUCUUCAGUUUUGCUUCUCGUUCCACUUCCUGUCGGAGGAAUUGCAUUAAAUAGUCGAGUCUUGACUUUGGUGGAUUAACUUUCGCACCAUCUUCCUGGUACAAUGGAGAUCGAUACCAGGCAUUAAAUAUUUCCUUAGGUAGACUGGUCUCAAUAAUGGGGCGAAGAAACAAAGUAUCUCUUUCAGACUUCACUCCCAACGACUCCAACGCCUGCAGCUGCGUUUGAAGACGAUCGUAAAACUUCUCCAAUGAUAACUUCUCUCUCUCGAACAAAAACUGUGCCAGCUCUCUUGUAUACAGGUCAACAAGGAUGUCUUCUUUUCCGUACCUUUCCUUUAAUGCUCCAAUAGCUUUCGGAUAAUUUGCAUCCGUCUUCGGAUAACUUCUGAUAAGAUCAGCGGCCUUUGACCCGCUGACCAUACUCUGCACUAAAUAAUGGAACUUGUCCGUCACAUGUAAAUCUUCAUCUUCAUCAAUCUUCUUAAAUUGCGCCCACCACUCCAGCCAGUUCUUGAUCUCCCCGUCAAACUUCAUUAACUCGAUCUUUGGUAGCUUAUAAUUCUUCUUAAGAAGUCCUCCACUAGCAGUGCUGUAGGAACUAUUUGUCGGGCUUGCUGAUCGUUCUGGACCAAGGAACUUUUCAACUUUGUGGCGCACAAAUCUACACUUAUCAUUGUAUCCUUCAAUUGAUCUUGAUUCUUCUAAAUAAUCUUCUUCAGUAAGUUCUUCGUUGUCUAGAAUAGCAUCCAAAACUUGCUUAUCCAAAUCCAACACGGUGUCGGUAAGCUCGAUCAACUUCUUCAACUUCACAAUCAGGACGUCCUUAUCUCGAUCUUCUUUCGUCAUUUCCUCAUCCAGCUCGUUGACCGUCCUAGUCAUCAUGGCUCGAAUGGGUGUGCGCUGCUUCUUUAGACGAUCCAUCCUGUCUCGAACCGAAUGAAGCCAGCAAAGAAAAAACAAUUAGUUUAAUCUACUCUCAAAUUCUCCAAAAUAUCGACGAUCCCACCUAGGUAGGCUACGCUCAAGGCCGUAGCAAACCGUAAAUUCAAUUUUAUUAUUGAUGCAAGAUCCACACGGGUUGCUCCUCCCACUCGACCUCUGAAAUCAGUCCUCGGUGGUAAUGACGGGGCGGUCCACUCUUGUCCUUCUUGCUUAAAAACUGUAAUCCUCCCACUCGUCCUUUGCUUCCUCGAGGGGAUGAUGAAUGCACUCUUUCACUUUACACUCACAGAUAACUUCACUGCACUUUAACAACUACCUCAAUCACGUCGAGGUCACCAAAUGUUGUAAAACCAAACGAACUACCAGCUUGAAAGGUUCUACUUCUUAAAAAGAUUGGGUCGUUGCUUAAAAAUACUACUACUGUGGUGUAAAUGAAAUUUGUAUAAAAACUCAAACUUUAAUUUUACUCACAUCGAGCAAUAACAAAUCAAUUUAUUUAAUUAUUUCAAUUUAAUUAAA